GUGCCAGCAGCCGCGGUAAGACGAAGGGGGCAAGCGUUGUUCGGAAUUACUGGGCGUAAAGCGAGUGUAGGUGGUUGCGACAGUCAGGCGUGAAAGCCUCGAGCUCAACUCGAGAAAUGCGCUUGAUACUGGGCAGCUAGAGGACCGGAGAGGAUAGUGGAAUUCCCAGUGUAGUGGUGAAAUACGUAGAGAUUGGGAAGAACACCAGUGGCGAAGGCGGCUAUCUGGACGGUUUCUGACACUAAGACUCGAAAGCGUGGGGAGCAAACAGGAUUAGAUACCCUCGUAGUCC
rnacentral:rRNA from 1 species